UACGUAGGUGGCAAGCGUUGUCCGGAAUUAUUGGGCGUAAAGCGCGCGCAGGCGGUCCUUUAAGUCUGAUGUGAAAGCCCACGGCUCAACCGUGGAGGGUCAUUGGAAACUGGGGGACUUGAGUGCAGAAGAGGAAAGCGGAAUUCCACGUGUAGCGGUGAAAUGCGUAGAGAUGUGGAGGAACACCAGUGGCGAAGGCGGCCACCUAGCCCGCACCUGACGCUGAGGCGCGACAGCGUGGGGAGCGAACUGG
rnacentral:rRNA from 1 species